UUAAGUAUGUACUAGGCAAAAAGUUUAAGAACCAAACCCUACUAGAAUCUUGAAGCCUCCCAUUUGCAGCCAUAAAAAGGAGCAAGACAAAAUGAGGCAACCCUAGUGGCCACACUCAAUUUUUGAUGCAAAAUUCAAGGUUUUGAGAAUGGAGGCACAAUCUCUGUUGGGGCAACAUUUGAGUUGACGUUUGUUAUGGAAAUUGGGUCCAAGACACAAGCUCCAGCCCAGAUGUAGCGGUAGAAUUCCAUUCACGGAGACACAGUGAGUCCUCAAUGAUUCGAGGAC